ensembl:lncRNA
GUUGCACGCUGAUGGGGAGCUGCUGCCUUUGUUCAGCCUCUCAAGCAAGCGUGGUUCCUCGUACCACUGGCCUGGGAAAGAUCAAAGCUCAAAGGACGGUUUCUACUGUGUGCCGAUGGCUUUCAUACCACCAUAAGGAGGAAAAAUUGUAAGUCAAACUACUUUAAAUUGGGGACUGUUUGUACUUUAAAACAUUUUAAACCACUUGGAAGAGACAAGAAUAAUGACUGGAUACAUUUGGAAAACUCCAUGCCAUAUGUGUUGCAGCUCGUCUACACAGCGGCUGCAUAGCUUCCUCCACGUUCACUCAGCCUCCACAUGGACUCAAGGGCAGAAAGCAAAAGCACUCCCCUCCCCAAAUGCUGAUAAAUAUGGUCUAUCUGCGGUAUUAAUGAUUUUUUCAAUUCACAAAUCAGUUGUCUUUUCCGGGUACCAUUGGAGAAAUUUAACUAUGAAGCUCAUGAGGGAUGGCAAAGUCUGAGCACCCUGGAUGGCGCUGUGCACGCGGAGGGUGAAGUUGUGGUCCCUGCUUCUCAGCAUUCUGGUGAAUCGGUUAUGCAGUGCUUUUCUAGGAAGUGGCUCUGAAUCCGCAUGCACCUCUACACUUCUGUGAAAUGGUAGAGAUGCUUCACUUGUGAGAGGAAGACUGAGGUCUCCAGUUUAAAACCUUUAGUGAGCAGUGACUUGGGGAGUGACUGUCCUGUAUGAUGCGUGCCCCUCAAAGUUACCGCUCUGCAGGCUCCAGACUUCUUCGUCGUGGGUUGUGGUCUGAGCCGUGUCCUUGUGCCGAUUGUACUGGGAAUUGAACCCAGGGCUUUUACACUGAGCUACAUCACCAGCCCUUUGCAUCUUGAGACAGAAUCUUGUGAAGUCUCUAAUUGCCCAGGCUGGAUUUGAACUUGCAGUCCUCUUGCCUCAGCCUACAAUGCCAUGCAUGGUUUCAUAAGUGUUGUUAGAAAGCUACAUUCCCCAAAAAGCCUACGAUUUUUAUAACUCCUCCCCACCUUCUAGCAGACUUAAUACAAGUUUAUCCCAAUAUGUAUAAGUCUUGCAAACAGGACAUUCAACCAGUCUGUGCAUCAGUCACUCCCUGGAACACCCGGAGACCUGUCUUCCUCGCGCUCCAUGGCAGGUUCUGGGGAUGGGGCUGACAGUGGACACUCACUGGCACACCAGCCAGUGCCUACAUCACUGGAGUCCCACAUUGUGACUGUCGCCCUGGGCCAGGAGGCCGCUGUUACCCCAGGUGCAUGACCCUGGCAGACAGUGCUUCAACCCUGAGGCCCAGCUCCAGCCCUUCCUCCCCUGCUGCUUCUCCAGCCUUCCUGUUCCAUGGCCGGGCAGCUUGUCCUCUUCUCCACUGAGUCCAGUCUCUGCAUGAAGCAGAUCUUAAGCACAGCAUUUUCAUCUUUCUGUUCAUCACCCUGGAAUGGGUGCAGAUUCCCCAGUGCCUGAGCAAGAUGACUUCAGGGACUUUCUAGGCAAGACCGUGCCUUUUCCUUCUGAGAGAAAUAAAAUGAGCCGAAUCAUGAACACCCAAGGCAAGGCUUUUAUCAAAGGACAGAGCUAUCGGGCUGUCUGGAACAACGUCAAGAGCGGCAACCUGGGGCUGGCUGGGUGAGGUUUAUAAGGACUGGGGGUAGUGUGGUAGAGGCAGAUGAUUGGCUACGACUCGGGGUGAGGUGGGGAAAAAGCAGGUCUUUGUUCUCUCUGGAGUGACUCAUUUCCUGUAGGCAGGGCCAUUUUAGGAUGCAGGGUUGUUGGGACCAUUUUAUCUAGCAGAGAACUCUAUCACCUUCCACGGUUCCUCGUCCUCUAGCGUCCUGUGUUGGGUUUUCCCAGAAGACAACUUUAAGAGGAGGAUUUGAGUCCAAGGGAUUUAUUUUGGGGGUGAAGUGAGUGGUUUCCCCCAUGAGCACCUGCAUGACCACACAGCAUCUCUGAAUUACCCCAUGCAGGGAAGGUGAGCGAGCAUGGGGGUUCCCCUCCAUUCCCUGGGGUCAUCAGGUGGAGCUGCGGUGGCAUGGCCAGCUGCCAGGGCAUGCCUGUCAUGGUGAGCAGCAAAGCUGUCGUCUUGGUGACUUUGGAAGCCUCGGGAGGAAGCACUCAGGGUACAAGUCCCAAGUGGAUUUACAGGACUUCUGGAGCCCACACUACCCAAGAAAUAAAUCGUGAACAGGUUUACAGGACCUCCAAGGCGGCCGGCCUAUGGGAGAAGAACUAACCAGACAGAGCUGCUCAAGACCCUUUCCAGCUGGGCAACCCAUAGGAACAGAAACGAAGGUGGCUCGAGCCUGGGGUUAAACCGGCAGAAUCACGGUUAGCCACCCUGCGGCCGGAGCCCAGAGAACUGGGCUGUUCUGGAUGAGUUAUGCUGCCUAGCAGAUCACCCAAACCUCACAGCUUAAAAGCACGAUACCUGCAUUGUCUUAGUUUCUGAGUCAGAGAUCCACGCACAGCUGACUGGGGCACCUUUCUCUCUUUCACAGUGCGGAAUCACAUUGGCAGCCCCAGGCGGGUCUUAGCGGGAGAAUCUGCCUCCAAGACCCAGCCCUUGCAGACCGAGGCCAGCUUCCAGCAUGGCUGUGACUGGCCAAGGGUCACUCAUUCCCACGCUUUCCAACACAGCUGGGUGCAAGCCAAGGAGGCAAGCAGCAGAGUCAAUCUUUUCCAAGCUCUCUGUGGAAUGGAUGUCACUUAUCCAUGCCCUGUGCCAUAUUUUAUUGGUUAGAAACAACUCAUUAGGCGCGCACCCUGGGGGAGGUGGCUACAUAAUAAGCCCAGGAACACAGGAAGUAGAUCACGGAGGGAUGCCUGAGAAGUCUGCCUACCACAGUGUCUUCAGCCCCUGGUUACAGCAGGUGCUCAAUAAUGUUCGUCAUUUUGGAUUUUGGUGUUCCUACCACAACAGGACUAGUUGGAAAAUUGCACUACAAAAAUAAUAAACUUCAGGGCCGGGGAUUUAGCUCAGUGGUUCCACAGCC